rnacentral:rRNA from 1 species
UGGGGAAUUUUGGACAAUGGGCGAAAGCCUGAUCCAGCAAUGCCGCGUGUGUGAAGAAGGCCUUCGGGUUGUAAAGCACUUUUGUCCGGAAAGAAAUCCUUGGCUCUAAUACAGUCGGGGGAUGACGGUACCGGAAGAAUAAGCACCGGCUAACUACGUGCCAGCAGCCGCGGUAAUACGUAGGGUGCAAGCGUUAAUCGGAAUUACUGGGCGUAAAGCGUGCGCAGGCGGUUUGCUAAGACCGAUGUGAAAUCCCCGGGCUCAACCUGGGAACUGCAUUGGUGACUGGCAGGCUAGAGUAUGGCAGAGGGGGGUAGAAUUCCACGUGUAGCAGUGAAAUGCGUAGAGAUGUGGAGGAAUACCGAUGGCGAAGGCAGCCCCCUGGGCCAAUACUGACGCUCAUGCACGAAAGCGUGGGGAGCAAACAGGAUUAGAUACCCUGGUAGUCCACGCCCUAAACGAUGUCAACUAGUUGUUGGGGAUUCAUUUCCUUAGUAACGUAGCUAACGCGUGAAGUUGACCGCCUGGGGAGUACGGUCGCAAGAUUAAAACUUAAAUGAAAUGACGGGGUCAUAGCUGUUUCCU